GCCUACGGGAGGCAGCAGUGGGGAAUAUUGGGCAAUGGAGGAAACUCUUACCCAGCAAUGCCGCGUGAAUGAGGAAGGUCUUCGGAUUGUAAAGUUCUUUAAUUGGGGACGAAAAAAAUGACGGUACCCAAGGAAUAAGCCCCGGCUAACUACGUGCCAGCAGCCGCGGUAAUACGUAGGGUGCGAGCGUUAAUCGGAAUUACUGGGCGUAAAGCGCUCGUAGGCGGUAUGUCAAGUCAAGGGUGAAAUCCCCGCGCUCAACGUGGGAACUGCCUUUGAAACUGGCAAACUGGAGUGUGUGAGAG
rnacentral:rRNA from 1 species